rnacentral:ncRNA from 1 species
CCCACUGAAUUUAAGCAUAUAAAUAAGCGGAGGAGAAGAAACUUACAAGGAUUCCCCUAGUAACAGCGAGCAAACCGGGAGCAGCCCAGCUGGAGAAUCGGGCGGCUGUGCCGUACGAAUUGUAGUCCGGAGAGGCGUCCUCAGCGACGGACCGAGCCCAAGUACAGGCGAGAGACCGAUAGCGAACAAGUACCGCGAGGGAAAGAUGAAAAGGACUUUGAAAAGAGAGUCAAAGAGUGCUUGAAAUUGCCGGGAGGGAAGCGGAUGGGGGCCAGCGAUGCGCCCCGGCCGUAUGCGGAACGGCUCUUGCUGGUCCGCCGCUCUGCUCGGGGUGUGGACUAUUGUCGGCCGCGCCGGCGGCCAAAGCCCGGGGGCCCUAGGUGCCCCCGGUGGCCGUCGUCGGCACGGCUGGUACCCGCGCUCCGAAAGGCGUGUCCCUCGGGGCACUGCGCUACAACGGCCUGCGGGCUCCCCAUCCGACCCGUCUUGAAACACAG